CAGUAGCCACGGUAAUACGGAGGGUGCAAGCGUUAAUCGGAAUUACUGGGCGCAAAGCGUGCGUAGGCGGCCUUUUAAGUCGGAUGUGAAAUCCCUGAGCUUAACUUAGGAAUUGCAUUCGAUACUGGGAAGCUAGAGUAUGGGAGAGGAUGGUAGAAUUCCAGGUGUAGCGGUGAAAUGCGUAGAGAUCUGGAGGAAUACCGAUGGCGAAGGCAGCCAUCUGGCCUAAUACUGACGCUGAGGUACGAAAGCAUGGGGAGCAAACAGGAUUAGAUACCCCCGUAGUCCCUGUCUCUUAUAC
rnacentral:rRNA from 1 species